GCCAGGUGGAUAGCUGAGAUGGUGGUCUAUUGGUAAGGCUAAAGGUGGGCCAGGUGGAUAGCUGAGAUGGUGAUGUAUUGGUAAGGCUUAAGGUGGGCCAGGUGGCUAGCUGAGAUGGUGAUGUAUUGGUAAGGCUAAAGGUGGCCAGGUAGCUAGCUGAGAGGGUGGUCUAUUGGUAAGGCUAAAGGUGGGCCAGGUAGCUAGCUGAGAGGGUGAUAAGGCUAAAGGUGGGCCAGGUGGCUAGCUGAGAGGGUGGUCUAUUGGUAAGGCUAAAGGUGGGCCAGGUGGCUAGCUGAGAGGGUGAUAAGGCUAAAGGUGGCCAGGUGGCUAGCUGAGAGGGUGAUAAGGCUAAAGGUGGGACAAGUGGAUAGCUGAGAGGGUGGUCUAUUGGUAAAGCUAAAGGUGGCCAGGCAGCCAGCUGAGAGGGUGGUCUAUUGGUAAGGCUAAAGGUGGGCCAGGUGGCUAGCUGAGAUGGUGAUAAGGCUAAAGAUGGCCCAGGUGGAUAGCUGAGAGGGUGAUAAUGCUAAAGGUGGGCCAGGUGGAUAUCUGAGAUGGUGAUAAGGCUAAAGGUGGCCAGGUGGCCAGCUGAGAGGGUGGUCUAUUGGUAAGGCUAACGGUGGGCCAGUGGCUAGCUUAGAUGAUGAUAAGGCUAAAGGUGGCCAGGUGGCUAGCUGAGAGGGUGGUCUAUUGGUAAGGCUAAAGGUGGCUAGCUGAGAGGGUGAUCUAUUGAUAAGGCUAACGGUGGCCACCUGAGAUGGUGGUCUAUUGGUAAGGCUGAAGGUGGCCAGGUGGCUAGCUGAGAGGGUGAUCUAUUGGUA